GUUAAUUAUUCUGAGUUGAGUCAACGAGCGAGCUGUUUGUGUAAAAUAAGCGACAAUCGUAAUGGACGUCUUUUCAAAUUUGCUAUACCUCCUCGUAAUAGGAGUACUUGUAUUGCCCAGUGAAGGAAUAGGGAUUCCUGCAACUACAAGCGAAAAUCCUGCAACUACAAGCGAAAAUCCUGCAACUACAAGCGAAAGUCCUUCAACAGGAAAUCCAACAACCGAACCACCUGUUGUGCCAGGUCCAGGUAAGUUAAUUUUGUGUUACUCUAUUUGAAGUGACAAAAUGUCUUUAAGAUAAUGUUUGCAUGAGAUCG